rnacentral:lncRNA from 1 species
AUGACUCACAAACUCUUUUGUACCCUUGUAUUUUGUACUCUUCAAUUACUUACUCUUCAAUACUCUUUUUGUUUUGUUAUUAUUCCGUUGGAGCAGAAAGACUUCGACUUUGCAACAGCUGAUUUUCACAGACCUCUUCAGAUGCCGCACUCGGAGCUUUCGGAGAUACAAACGCUUGAUCGCAGAACCCAUUUCUCCACUUUCGACCCACUGCACCGGGAGCUUGCCGCCAAACUAAUCAAAAUAUUCAUGUGUCAGCGAGAUUUGAAAGAGCUGGUAUCAUGUCUGGAUCUUUGCGUGAUGAAGUUCAUCCUGACUUGUUCAACUACGCACUGUCGAUCACUUUAAUACACAGAAAAGACACAAGCAGCCUGCAAGUACCACCUUUGGCAACGGUUAUGCCUCAUAAGUUUAUUGACGCCAAAAUACUUAGACAAUUAAAGAGGCAAUAAAAACGGCACGUAUGAUUCUAACGUAAGUUUGCAGUUUUAUUGACUCAAUUGUUUUCAAUUUUAUUUUAAAUUGCGAUUGAUUGAUGGCAAAAUAAAUGCUACGGUAUCGGAAUAGUGUUGUAUGUUGCCUACCUGCUAAUUGAAGGCGCUCCAUUGAACUUUGUGAAUAAAAUUGAAGUAAGUUGCAAUUUUUCUUUCCAUCAUGAAUUAGCUGUAUCUUUGUCUGGCCGUUUAAGCUCGGCGAUCAUUACCAGAUAAUGUGAAAAUGAUUCAAUUUCAUUAAUAAAAAAGUUUAA